rnacentral:sRNA from 1 species
UCCUGAAGAUUUUCCUCAGAGAAUUUUUCAUCUCUUUGUUCCUGAGACUAUAUAUUAGAGGAUUGCAGAGAGGUGUUAUCACAGAAUAGAAAAAGUGGAUUUUUAUCUGAGAUCUACAACUUAUGAAGAAUAUAAGUGAUAUAUAUAUAAGUGAUUAUAUGUGUAAUAUAUAUAAGUGAUAUAUAUUCUUUUCUACUCUUCAUGUAUGGAAUAAAAGGGCUUGCACAGUAGUAAGAAAAAAAUGGCUUAGGCCCACAGGAACAAAGAAACAGGACAGGAGUUAGAUGCAGAGAAGAGAUUUCAACAAAAGUUUGGAAAAGAUGCUAACGGUAGCAUAUGAGUCACAGACAGAAUAUUGGCACCUUUUUUUUAAGAAACUGAAUGUUAAUGUCACAUCUGCCUUUGGAGAUUACAAAUGAAAUGGCUACCUUUCUACUGGAACUCUGACCAGAAGCCUGCCAAUUAGUAAGCUGGCUUAAGAGAUCAAUCUAAAAUUUACAUAAGGCUUUUG